rnacentral:rRNA from 1 species
UCGCUACGACCGAUUGUUCCAGUUAAUGAGCGAUAUGGAUGAGUCCCGUGAUCGGCUUGUCCGUGAUCGUUGGGCUGAGAAGUUGGACAAAUUAUCUGGGGUAGAGGACGUAA